rnacentral:rRNA from 1 species
UACGGGGGGGGUAAGCGUUGUUCGGAAUUACUGGGCGUAAAGGGCUCGUAGGCGGCCAACUAAGUCAGGCGUGAAAUCCCUCAGCUUAACUGGGGAACUGCGUCUGAUACUGGAUGGCUUGGAUUCGGGAGAGGAAUGCGGAAUUCCAGGUGUAGCGGUGAAAUGCGUAGAUAUCUGGAGGAACACCGGUGGCGAAGGCGGUUCUCUGGGCCUUACCUGACGCUGAGGAGCGAAAGCGUGGGGAGCGAACAGG